UACGGGGGGGGGCAAGCGUUGUUCGGAAUUACUGGGCGUAAAGGGCUCGUAGGCGGCCAACUAAGUCGGAUGUGAAAUCCCCAGGCUCAACUUGGGAACUGCAUCCGAUACUGGAUGGCUUGAAUCCGGGAGAGGGAUGUGGAAUUCCAGGUGUAGCGGUGAAAUGCGUAGAGAUCAUGAGGAAGACCAGUGGCGAAGGCGGGUCUCUGGACAGUUCCUGACACGAGGCACGAAGGCCAGGGGAGCAAACGGG
rnacentral:rRNA from 1 species